rnacentral:rRNA from 1 species
GACAGAGGGUGCAAACGUUGCUCGGAAUUACUGGGCGUAAAGGGUCCGUAGGCGGUGCAGUAAGUCGGGAGUGAAAUCUCUGGGCUUAACUCAGAGGCUGCUUCCGAAACUACCGUGCUAGAGUGCGAGAGAGGCAAGUGGAAUUCCCGGUGUAGUGGUGAAAUGCGUAGAUAUCGGGAGGAACACCAGUGGCGAAGGCGACUUCCUGGCCUGUUCUUGACGCUGAGGCGCGAAAGCUAGGGUAGCAAACGGG